rnacentral:rRNA from 1 species
GGUUCUAGAUCUGAGUAUAUCAAUAUUACCUUGUUCAGAACUUAAAGAGAAAUCUUGAGUUUAUGGACUUCAGGGGGAGUAUGGUCACAAGGCUGAAACUUAAAGGAAUUGACGGAAGGGCACACCAGGAGUGGAGCCUGCGGCUUAAUUUGACUCAACACGGGAAAACUUACCAAGACCGAACAGUAGAAGGAAUGACAGAUUAAGAGUUCUUUCAUGAUUUAUUGGGUAGUGGUGCAUGGCCGUUCUUAGUUGGUGGAGUGAUUUGUCAGGUUAAUUCCGGUAACGAACGAGACUGAAACCUAUUAAUUAGUUUUCUGCCUAUAAGACAGAAAUGUUCGCAAGAACAGGUGCGUAAGUACCACUUCUUAAAGGGACACACUUCAAUUGUCCUAUUUUAAUUGUAGUUAUCUAAUUUCGGUUAGAC